UGGGGAAUAUUGGACAAUGGGCGAAAGCCUGAUCCAGCCAUGCCGCGUGUGUGAAGAAGGUCUUCGGAUUGUAAAGCACUUUAAGUUGGGAGGAAGGGCAGUAAGCGAAUACCUUGCUGUUUUGACGUUACCGACAGAAUAAGCACCGGCUAACUCUGUGCCAGCAGCCGCGGUAAUACAGAGGGUGCGAGCGUUAAUCGGAUUUACUGGGCGUAAAGCGUGCGUAGGCGGCUAAUUGAGUCGGAUGUGAAAUCCCCGAGCUUAACUUGGGAAUUGCAUUCGAUACUGGUUAGCUAGAGUGUGGGAGAGGAUGGUAGAAUUCCAGGUGUAGCGGUGAAAUGCGUAGAGAUCUGGAGGAAUACCGAUGGCGAAGACAGCCAUCUGGCCUAACACUGACGCUGAGGUACGAAAGCAUGGGGAGCAAACAGG
rnacentral:rRNA from 1 species